UACGUAGGUGGCAAGCGUUGUCCGGAAUUAUUGGGCGUAAAGGGCGCGUAGGCGGUCCUUUAAGUCAGAUGUGAAAUCCCGAGGCUUAACCUCGGGCGUGCAUUUGAAACUGGGGGACUAGAGUGCAGGAGAGGUAAGUGGAAUUCCUAGUGUAGCGGUGAAAUGCGUAGAUAUUAGGAGGAACACCAGUGGCGAAGGCGACUUACUGGACUGUAACUGACGCUGAGGCGCGAAAGCGUGGGGAGCAAACAGG
rnacentral:rRNA from 1 species